CCUGUGCUGAGCACGACCCAACAUUGCAGGUUAAUUGUUUCAGUUCAUAUAAGCAGGAACAAAAAACAUAAUUUGAUCAAUGCUAGAUUAACUCCAAAGUAUAAAUUGAAGUUUGGUAUGUCGAUUACCAACAAAUUAAAUAAGAUACAUCAAUUGCACACCCAAGAAAGAGAGAUUAAAUGACAUAAUUUGCCUGAUGGAAUCAUGCAUCAAUAAGAUGAAAAGAAUGUAAGGUUGGGAGAAAAGAACUAAAGAACAUGAGUAGUUUAUAAAGAAGUGGUCAUCCAAUUCACCUUUGUUUCGGUGUCUAGCUUUAUUCUCUCUUUUUCACUCUGCAUGCACAUGACAAAAAAUUAAUUAGCUGACCAGGAUCAUUGACAUAUACCACUUAACAUCAAACUGAAAUAACAAUAAACAUGUGAUGUAAGAUAUCAAACACUGGCUUUGGCCCCAUCCCGUAGUUCAUUCACAAACAAAAGCCAACAAUAACAAUAAAUCCAGUGAAAUUCCACAAGUAGAGUCAGGGAAAGGUAAUUUGGGUUCGUUCUCUUGUUACUUCGAAUUACACCCAGAAAACAUCAAUUAAAGUAGUGCGACUAAAGUUUACGAAAGUCCUACUGAAUCUUGAAAUCCCCUUUAAACCCAGUUUCUAAAAUCUCAAAAUCGCUCGUGGCAGAAAAAUGAUCUUACCAGAGAAGAAAACAUUCAUGUUAAUUCGAGAAAUAAAUUAAAAAUGCAGAAUGAGCCUCACUCUCCUUCAAAAAAUUGUCAUUUCAGGUGUAUUUUCUGCCGUUUCUGAUUGGUAAAAUUGAAAGAAUACAAAACUUGUAUAAAAGUCAGCAUCUCUUUUCAAGAAAAUCUAAAUCCAACAAAAGGCCCAUAUGCUAAAAUGCCAAAAAAAAAAAAAAAACUAAAAAUAGUACCUCAAGUCACAAAGAUGAGAACUUUAUGAGGGCCUGCUUCAAUACGAAUUCAAUUUUAUAUCUAUUUGUACUGAAAAAUUGAGUAAUUGCAGGAGAGACGAUAAAUUUAGAAGGAAGAAUUCAUAUGAGAGAAGAAAAGAAUUACAAUGGCAUCUCUCUUUGGGAAUAGCAAAAGUUUGGUUGGGGGAAAAUUGACAUAUACUUGGAUAAAAAGGCUUAUUUUAGAAUUAAAUCAAGUUAAUUUAUUUUUUACGCAAGAGGUACAAAUAUGUCCAGCAAAAAUUAAAGUUAAAGCAAAUAUACAACACGAAUGGAGCAUCUAAAGGUAAUCCUGGACCUAGUUCGGCGGCAUUCUGUAUUAGGGAUCAUGAUGGUAAUUUGAUAGUUGCUAAAGGUUUCAAACUCCCAGACACGACAAAUAUGGUAGCAGAAGCUAUAGCUAUAAGGGAGAGUCUAAUUUAUUGUAGUGAACAUGGUAUUGGACAUGUUAUUCUUGAGACAGACUCUUUAACAAUGGUUCAUAUCUUAGAGGGUGAAUGGGAUGUACCAUGGAGUGUAGCACUCGAAGUUAAUGACAUCAGAAGGUUGAGAGGGGUGGUUUCAGCAAGAGUAAAGCAUUCCUUUCGGGAAGGAAAUACUCUUGCUGUUUUUUUACUAAUCUAGUUUUCCCUUUUGCAGGUGAUUUUCAAAUUAAUCAUUUCCGGGAUAUACCUAGCGAGGGAAGAAAGCUACUCAAUCUGGAUAAGCAAGGCACACCAUACAUAAGGAGACAGAUACAAGAAUACAAAUAACAGUAGCCUCAAAAUUCAAGACCUUUUCUGGUUAUGCAGAGUAUAGUUAAGUUAAUCCUUGAAGUAAAUUCAAUAGAUUUGUGUACUUACACCUGGUGAGAGCCAAAUCAAAGUAUUAGCUUCUUGUGAAUCUGCAAAAAUCAAUAAAGGGAUGUUGCAUAUAAAUUUUCUUAUUCAUAGUGGUAGUAUUAACUAAAUAGAGACUCUAAUGGUUGUAUCAAUCCCAUUGGAAUUCAACCCAUUGAGCCUUUGAAAGGUUAGUAAUACUAUGGUGAAAUGGAGAAGAGGCUCAAAUACUUUACUGCUAUUUCAUAAAGUUCUAAUCUGCAAUGUUUAAAUGAGAUUUAUGUGGAAUAGCAAUUCAAAAUUAGACAAUAAGUGUAUGAAUUGGAUCAAUCAAUCAAAUCACAAAUUACCUGCAAGCUUGUUGGAUUCUGAACUUGAAGGUCAUCCAUCAGGGGAAGUGCUUGGAUUGUGUCUCCAUUCAUCGGAU
rnacentral:lncRNA from 1 species